rnacentral:rRNA from 1 species
GAUGAACGCUGGCGGCGUGCCUAACACAUGCAAGUCGAACGGAGUCCAGCCUUUAAGACCUUCGGGUCAAAGAGGGGAAGACUGAGUGGCGGACGGGUGAGUAACACGUGGGCAACCUGGCUCAUAGAGGGGGAUAACAGAGAGAAAUUUCUGCUAAUACCGCAUAAGCACACACUGCCGCAUGGCAGAGGGUGAAAAGAGAAUCGCUAUGAGAUGGACCCGCGUCUGAUUAGCCAGUUGGCAGGGUAAGAGCCUACCAAAGCGACGAUCAGUAGCCGAUCUGGGAGGAUGAACGGCCACAUUUGGACUGAGACACGGCCCAAACUCCUACGCGAGGCAGCAGUGGGGGAUAUUGCACAAUGGGGCGAAACCUGAUGCAGCGACGCCGCGUGAGUGAAGAAGUAUUUCGGUAUGUAAAGCUCUAUCAGCAGGGAAGAUAAUGACAGUACCUGAAUAAGAAGCCCCGGCUAACUACGUG